rnacentral:rRNA from 1 species
AACGCUGGCGGCGUGCCUCAGACAUGCAAGUCGAACGAUUAAAGCUCUCUUCGGAGAGUGCAUAGAGUGGCGCACGGGUGAGUAACACGUAAGUAAUCUACCUUCGAGUGGGGAAUAACGUCCGGAAACGGACGCUAAUACCGCAUAAUGCAGCGGCAUCGCAAGAUGACAGUUGUUAAAGAUUUAUCGCUUGAAGAGGAGCUUGCGGCAGAUUAGCUAGUUGGUAAGGUAAUGGCUUACCAAGGCUACGAUCUGUAACCGGUCUAAGAGGACGGUCGGUCACACUGACACUGAACAACGGGUCAGACUCCUACGGGAGGCAGCAGUCGGGAAUUUUGGGCAAUGGGCGAAAGCCUGACCCAGCAACGCCGCGUGAAGGAUGAAGUAUUUCGGUAUGUAAACUUCGAAAGAAUGGGAAGAAUAAAUGACGGUACCAUUUAUAAGGUCCGGCUAACUACGUGCCAGCAGCCGCGGUAAUACGUAGGGACCAAGCGUUGUUCGGAUUUACUGGGCGUAAAGGGCGCGUAGGCGGCUUGACAAGUCACUUGUGAAAUCUCCGGGCUUAACUCGGAACGGCCAAGUGAAACUGUCAUGCUAGAGUGCAGAAGGGGCAAUCGGAAUUCUUGGUGUAGCGGUGAAAUGCGUAGAUAUCAAGAGGAACACCUGAGGUGAAGACGGGUUGCUGGGCUGACACUGACGCUGAGGCGCGAAAGCCAGGGGAGCAAACGGGAUUAGAUACCCCGGUAGUCCUGGCCCUAAACGAUGAAUACUUGGUGUCUGGAGUUAUUAGUGCUCCGGGUGCCGUCGCUAACGUUUUUAGUAUUCCGCCUGGGGAGUACGCUCGCAAGAGUGAAACUCAAAGGAAUUGACGGGGGCCCGCACAAGCGGUGGAGCAUGUGGUUCAAUUCGACGCAACGCGAAGAACCUUACCUGGGCUCGAAGCACAGUGGACCGGGGUGGAAACAUCCCUUUUCGCAAGAACUGCUGUGGAGGUGCUGCAUGGCUGUCGUCAGCUCGUGUCGUGAGAUGUUGGGUUAAGUCCCGCAACGAGCGCAACCCUUAUCGUUAGUUGCCAGCGGGUCAAGCCGGGCACUCUAGCGAAACCGCCCCGGAUAACGGGGAGGAAGGUGGGGAUGACGUCAAGUCCUCAUGGCCUUUAUGUCCAGGGCUACACACGUGCUACAAUGGUCGGUACAAACCGUCGCAAACCUGCGAAGGGGAGCUAAUCGGAAAAAGCCGGCCUCAGUUCGGAUUGGAGUCUGCAACUCGACUCCAUGAAGCUGGAAUCGCUAGUAAUCGCGGAUCAGCACGCCGCGGUGAAUACGUUCCCGGGCCUUGUACACACCGCCCGUCACAUCACGAAAGUGGACUGCACUAGAAGCCGGUGAGCCAACCGCAAGGGGGCAGCCGUCCAAGGUAUGGUUCAUGAUUGGGGUG